CUAGCCUGAUGAUUUCUGUGACAACCCCCACCUUUUGCAUUGCAAAGAAUAGUGAGUAAUACUCCCUGCUGAGUUUUUAAAAAGCACUUUUGAUAAUAAUUCUUGACAUCCUUCAUGAUUUUCUUCAAUCAUGUACCUCCUUUUUCAAGAUACUGAUGUUGGUAGCCAGGAAGACAACACAGAUGCUUUGGGUCUCAGACCCAGAUGUUUCGGUGGUGGUGACAGCACCUGUGCCGCCUCCAUUGGCAGCACUGGCAGCCCCAACACAACAGCUGUCAUUGCUCAGCCCUCAGAGGAGCAAACAAAUCUGGUCUUCCUGUGCUGGGGGCCCAGGCAGCAACCUGAACGGGACACAGAGACUGUUCUCCAUUGCAAAGCUACCUCAGAAACUCAACGGAAAGCACGAGUGAAAUCACUCAUAUUUUACUACCUUUGUUCUCUGAAAAGCAGGGGGGGAGGAGGAGGGAGGAAGGACACAGCCUGUUACAACAAAACAGGUGGUAGGUGGGUUUUUUUUUUCUUUUUUUUUUUCUUCUUUGGACUUUUUGUCCAUGUACAUUAGAAUCUGUAACAUGGUAAAGAUCAGAGAUGGGGACAUCUUCCCAGUCAGGUACCCACCCAGAGUGGGGGAGAAACAGCAAUAGCUCUGAAAUUUUGACAGCAAGAGAUACAGGGAAUUUGUCUAAACUGAAAUAGUGAGCAGACUUCCCUGUGCAACUGAAUCUUUCACCAAGCCCUUGCGGUAAUUUCACCUUAGUGUUUUGUUUCACAUUUGUUAACAUGGAUCGGGUAGCCCUUCUCUUGAUGACUUUGCACGUAUGCCUUAAAAAAGACAGGAUGAAGAUGGAGAAGAAUUUGAAAUAUGUGAUAGUUGCAGACCGAUUCUGUUUAUUUGUGUUAGUAAACAUUUUAUUUCAGGCUCAAUGCAUUCAGCCUUAUGUCUGCAUAAACAUAGGAGCCUCAACGGUUCAGUGAGGCAUCAGUGCUUCAUUAAAAUUCUCCAGGUAAAAUUCGGGACUUUCCUGUAAUCAAUGAGUAGACAGAGGAUACAGGGUUUUGUUUGCAGGUUGUUUUUGUCUUUUUUCAAUUGGUAGGUAGCUAUUACUGCUGAGAAGAGGGGAAAUAUAAUGCGAGUGGCAAAAUCUGGAUGAUGGUUGUAUUACCAAAAAGCAGGGAAUACAAUCAAGUGCAGAAGACAAGGACAAGUUCUUUGACAAGAUUAAGCUGCAUGCUGAAGAGCUGCCUGUCCAGGAUGAUGCAACACACCCAACCCAAUUAUCCAGGCUAUUUAAAUUUGAAAAAUUCCUGAUUCAGUCAGAAUUUGAUUGAAAGUGUUUGUAGAAAGGUGGCCAUUAAAGAUUAGCAAUAGAGAGCAGGAAGGCAUAUGUAUAUAUAUUUUCCUUGUCAGUAAAGUAUUUCCCAGUUAUAAGAGUGUCUUGUGCCGCAUGCUGAUCUUACAGAUGGUGCAGUAAAUCAGGGCUAACUCUGAAAGUGUCAGUGGAAUUGUCUUUGUGUAACUGGUAUCCGAAUUACCCGAAUUAGUCCCUGGCUGUGAAAGACAGGGAUUGCCUUUGGGCGUAAGCACAGAUAGGAGAACUAAAGGGUGAGGUUUUUUUUUUUUUUUUUUUUUGUGCCUUGGAGUCUGACUCACUUUGUGGCUUUGAGCAUUUUGCAUAAUUCUUUUGCCUUGGUUUCCUCCCUGCAAAGUCAGCUGAUAGUUCCAGAGGAGCUCUUGAGUGGAGAACUUUGAUUAUGGAAAUUGCUUUAGAAAUGCUCGCUUAUUACCAUUAAUGGAAGUAACAUAUUACAUUAGAAAAUUUUAGCUCAGCCAAGGGAUUUGGAGGGCAAAAGGCACCCCAGAUUCACCAGCAGCUGUUUUUGAAGUACCGGCUGUUAAUCCAUACAAUGAAGAGAUGCAUAGACGGAGGACUUUCAGCUGUAAGGGAAAGAUAUCACCCAAGAGAGAAGCAAAGCAUACAAUCCUGUGACUGCAUGGGUCAGACUUCAAAACCUAGUACAAGCCCCUUGUGACUUGCAUGUGAAUUCAAUAUCAGGCAGUAGUGACCACAAGCCCUUCUUCUUUGAUGUCUGCUCAGCAUAUAUAAGAUUUGAGGGAGUUCUGCAAUAUAGCUGUAAACGUGCAGGAUUUGGGGGUCUUCUACAGCCCAGCAUGCUCUUUCCUUCUCCCUCACUGUUCUUCCAAAAGGCAAAUGUAACUUUUAGUUAAAAAUUGUGAGGAGUGAGGUCUAUAUUGUUUGCCUGUACAGUGACAGGAAUAUUUGUUAAUAAUGUGCAUGUGUGGGCACGUUACUACUAUAAUCUUAUUUCGUGUCUGAGAUGAGAUGCUCACAUACAAAAGCCUACCUGUGUACUUCAUAGGUGUUGGUGUGCUGCCAGAAGGGAGCAAGCUGGCAGCCUAGCAGCAGUGGUAGAUCAAAGCCAGGGAGUGAUGUUCUCCUAAUGUCUCAAAUAAAUAAUCAAGGACUAAGUAAAGGAAAAGAAUGCUGCUGAAUGUGUGCAGUUUCUGGAAAGAAAAAUGCAGGAGCCUGCUCACCAUGAGCGCAUCCUUCAGCUUUCUAAUAGAGGAGGCUGGGACAUGCCAAGAGCAGAAGAUUCCUGGGCUUUACUAUGACUCUGGACAUUUAAGAUGGAAUUAAUUUUGCCUAAACAGAGACAUUUAAAAGCCAGAUGUCUGGCUUCCUUCUACAAUCGGUGGAGGAAAAGGAGGUGAUUUAUCCAACCUCUCUCUGUCCCUGGGCUGUAGAGGGAGCCUAGUUAGACCAGAUACUAACUUACAGACAGCUAAAGUUAGCAAGAUGAAUUGCUCUUUUACUGCUUCAUACAUUUAAUAAAUUGCACACUUUCCCCACAGUUGUGCGUAAGGUCUCUGUUUUCCAGGGAGAAGGGAAGGUGAGGCUGAGAUGAACUGAGUUCCCUGCGGACAGUUAUCAACAGAACUGAGAUUACAACAUACAUGCACCCAGCUCCAGCCCCCCUCAAAUUAUACUGCCUCCCAGGGACACAGAACAAUUAGUCUCCAUGCAGGAA
ensembl:lncRNA